rnacentral:rRNA from 1 species
AAUACGGAGGGGGCUAGCGUUGUUCGGAAUUACUGGGCGUAAAGCGCACGUAGGCGGACAUUUAAGUCAGGGGUGAAAUCCCGGGGCUCAACCCCGGAACUGCCUUUGAUACUGGGUGUCUUGAGUGUGGAAGAGGUCAGUGGAAUUGCGAGUGUAGAGGUGAAAUUCGUAGAUAUUCGCAGGAACACCAGUGGCGAAGGCGGCUGACUGGUCCACAACUGACGCUGAGGUGCGAAAGCGUGGGGAGCAAACAGGA